rnacentral:rRNA from 1 species
AACGAACGCUGGCGGCAGGCUUAACACAUGCAAGUCGAGCGCCCCGCAAGGGGAGCGGCAGACGGGUGAGUAACGCGUGGGAAUCUACCCAUCUCUACGGAAUAACGCAUGGAAACGUGUGCUAAUACCGUAUACGUCCUUCGGGAGAAAGAUUUAUCGGAGAUGGAUGAGCCCGCGUUGGAUUAGCUAGUUGGUGGGGUAAAGGCCUACCAAGGCGACGAUCCAUAGCUGGUCUGAGGGGAUGAUCAGCCACACUGGGACUGAGACACGGCCCAGACUCCUACGGGAGGCAGCAGUGGGGAAUAUUGGACAAUGGGCGCAAGCCUGAUCCAGCCAUGCCGCGUGAGUGAUGAAGGCCCUAGGGUUGUGAAGCUCUUUCACCGGUGAAGAUAAUGACGGUAACCGGAGAAGAAGCCCCGGCUAACUUCGUGCCAGCCGCCGCGGUAACAC